GCUGCCUCUAGAAGCAUUGCACGUGUGGCUGCUGUAUCACAAAUGCAUCAGUGGGUGGCAGAGAGGAGAGAGGAUAUUCUACAUUCAGUGAUAUGACCUAUAAGUAUCUGAAUAAUCAGAAGCCUAACAUU